rnacentral:piRNA from 1 species
UAGAAAGCGAGUUUGGUUUGCGUGGUCU